AUGCCCUGGCAGUCAGAGGCGAUGAAGGGCGUGCUAAUCUGCGAUAAGCGCCGGUAAGGUGAUAUGAACCGUUAUAACCGGCGAUACCCGAAUGGGGAAACCCAGUGUGACUCGUCACACUAUCAUUAACUGAAUCCAUAGGUUAAUGAGGCGAACCGGGGGAACUGAAACAUCUAAGUACCCCGAGGAAAAGAAAUCAACCGAGAUUCCCCCAGUAGCGGCGAGCGAACGGGGAGGAGCCCAGAGCCUGAAUCAGCAUGUGUGUUAGUGGAAGCGUCUGGAAAGGCGCGCGAUACAGGGUGACAGCCCCGUACACAAAAGCGCAUGUGCUGUGAGCUCGAUGAGUAGGGCGGGACACGUGGUAUCCUGUCUGAAUAUGGGGGGACCAUCCUCCAAGGCUAAAUACUCCUGACUGACCGAUAGUGAACCAGUACCGUGAGGGAAAGGCGAAAAGAACCCCGGCGAGGGGAGUGAAAAAGAACCUGAAACCGUGUACGUACAAGCAGUGGGAGCACAGGUUUACCUGUGUGACUGCGUACCUUUUGUAUAAUGGGUCAGCGACUUAUAUUCUGUAGCAAGGUUAACCGUAUAGGGGAGCCGUAGGGAAACCGAGUCUUAACCGGGCGUUAAGUUGCAGGGUAUAGACCCGAAACCCGGUGAUCUAGCCAUGGGCAGGUUGAAGGUUGGGUAACACUAACUGGAGGACCGAACCGACUAAUGUUGAAAAAUUAGCGGAUGACCUGUGGCUGGGGGUGAAAGGCCAAUCAAACCGGGAGAUAGCUGGUUCUCCCCGAAAGCUAUUUAGGUAGCGCCUCGUGAAUUCAUCUCCGGGGGUAGAGCACUGUUUCGGCUAGGGGGCCAUCCCGGCUUACCAACCCGAUGCAAACUGCGAAUACCGGAGAAUGUUAUCACGGGAGACACACGGCGGGUGCUAACGUCCGUCGUGAAGAGGGAAACAACCCAGACCGCCAGCUAAGGUCCCAAAGUCAUGGUUAAGUGGGAAACGAUGUGGGAAGGCCCAGACAGCCAGGAUGUUGGCUUAGAAGCAGCCAUCAUUUAAAGAAAGCGUAAUAGCUCACUGGUCGAGUCGGCCUGCGCGGAAGAUGUAACGGGGCUAAACCAUGCACCGAAGCUGCGGCAGCGACGCUGAUGCGUUGUUGGGUAGGGGAGCGUUCUGUAAGCCUGUGAAGGUGGCCUGUGAGGGUUGCUGGAGGUAUCAGAAGUGCGAAUGCUGACAUAAGUAACGAUAAAGCGGGUGAAAAGCCCGCUCGCCGGAAGACCAAGGGUUCCUGUCCAACGUUAAUCGGGGCAGGGUGAGUCGACCCCUAAGGCGAGGCCGAAAGGCGUAGUCGAUGGGAAACGGGUUAAUAUUCCCGUACUUGGUGUUACUGCGAAGGGGGGACGGAGAAGGCUAUGUUGGCCGGGCGACGGUUGUCCCGGUUUAAGCGUGUAGGUGUGUGUUCCAGGUAAAUCCGGUUCACUUUAACACUGAGGCGUGAUGACGAGGCACUACGGUGCUGAAGCAACAAAUGCCCUGCUUCCAGGAAAAGCCUCUAAGCAUCAGGUAACAUCAAAUCGUACCCCAAACCGACACAGGUGGUCAGGUAGAGAAUACCAAGGCGCUUGAGAGAACUCGGGUGAAGGAACUAGGCAAAAUGGUGCCGUAACUUCGGGAGAAGGCACGCUGACACGUAGGUGAAGUGAUUUACUCAUGGAGCUGAAGUCAGUCGAAGAUACCAGCUGGCUGCAACUGUUUAUUAAAAACACAGCACUGUGCAAACACGAAAGUGGACGUAUACGGUGUGACGCCUGCCCGGUGCCGGAAGGUUAAUUGAUGGGGUCAGCGCAAGCGAAGCUCCUGAUCGAAGCCCCGGUAAACGGCGGCCGUAACUAUAACGGUCCUAAGGUAGCGAAAUUCCUUGUCGGGUAAGUUCCGACCUGCACGAAUGGCGUAAUGAUGGCCAGGCUGUCUCCACCCGAGACUCAGUGAAAUUGAACUCGCUGUGAAGAUGCAGUGUACCCGCGGCAAGACGGAAAGACCCCGUGAACCUUUACUAUAGCUUGACACUGAACAUUGAGCCUUGAUGUGUAGGAUAGGUGGGAGGCUUUGAAGCGUGGACGCCAGUCUGCAUGGAGCCGGCCUUGAAAUACCACCCUUUAAUGUUUGAUGUUCUAACGUGGACCCGUGAUCCGGGUUGCGGACAGUGUCUGGUGGGUAGUUUGACUGGGGCGGUCUCCUCCUAAAGAGUAACGGAGGAGCACGAAGGUUGGCUAAUCCUGGUCGGACAUCAGGAGGUUAGUGCAAUGGCAUAAGCCAGCUUGACUGCGAGCGUGACGGCGCGAGCAGGUGCGAAAGCAGGUCAUAGUGAUCCGGUGGUUCUGAAUGGAAGGGCCAUCGCUCAACGGAUAAAAGGUACUCCGGGGAUAACAGGCUGAUACCGCCCAAGAGUUCAUAUCGACGGCGGUGUUUGGCACCUCGAUGUCGGCUCAUCACAUCCUGGGGCUGAAGUAGGUCCCAAGGGUAUGGCUGUUCGCCAUUUAAAGUGGUACGCGAGCUGGGUUUAGAACGUCGUGAGACAGUUCGGUCCCUAUCUGCCGUGGGCGCUGGAGAACUGAGGGGGGCUGCUCCUAGUACGAGAGGACCGGAGUGGACGCAUCACUGGUGUUCGGGUUGUCAUGCCAAUGGCACUGCCCGGUAGCUAAAUGCGGAAGAGAUAAGUGCUGAAAGCAUCUAAGCACGAAACUUGCCCCGAGAUGAGUUCUCCCUGAGACUUAGAGUCUCCUGAAGGAACGUUGAAGACGACGACGUUGAUAGGCCGGGUGUGUAAGCGCAGCGAUGCGUUGAGCUAACCGGUACUAAUGAACCGUGAGGCUUAACCUU
rnacentral:rRNA from 1 species